ACUGACUCAGUUCUUGCCUGAGGUCCAGACCAGGAAGAACAAAUAUAAUACUGAGCGAAAAUGGAGAUAAGCAGGCAGAUAAUAUACCUUACGCAAUCGUUGGAGAGUAUUUGACAGUUUCGGUUCCCGACUGUGAUACAACUACAACAUUUCAAUGGAAGCAAGUAGAGGAAUCUACAAACCCAUCUGGGUAUGUGACAGUUUUUGUUUUUACUGCAUUUCAACAGUUUAAAGAAUUUGAUGUAGUUUUAAAAGCUCACUAAGAAUAAAUUUAAGUAACAAUGAGUAACUUGUUUCUUUGACAGGUGUUGUUCAACACACUCAUGUGAAGAUCUGCUGGCAUCUUCCUGCCUACGGGCUCAGGUUGCAAUGAUGGAGUUCCUUGGGCUUCAGAGGGAAAAUCUAAUUCCAUCAAACAUCACUGCUGAAGAUCUGAGAGUUUUUUUGGCGGAGAAAACCAAAGAGACACUCAGCACUGAGUUACUGUGACAAAUCAAAGUCUGUGAUGUGUGCAAAUGCUGACAGGAAGCCCCUGUUUUGUUUUCAUUUGAAGACUUUGGGAGUUUGAAUUAGAAGAUUUUGAAGAAGAAGAAGCCAAACCUCUUCUGAAACUGGUAUGGGCAGUGAACAUCAUUAAUAAAAUGAGGGACAAAGUUUUAAGCCCAGAUGUUCCUUAAAUUUCCAGAGGCCAUAUCUCCUAAAUUUAAUUGACUCACAUCUGACAGUUUAUAACAGUCCAGCUACAGUGUUUUAAUAUUUCUGUGAUGCUUUAAAUAGAUUUAAAAGCUAAUUCUUACAACGUUACUCUAUAGAACACCUAAACUCCUCCAAUGGUGAAGGAUUACAUUGAAAUCCUUAAAGAGAAGCAGUAGGAACCACAAAGCACCAAACUGCUCACUGCACAGGAAGUGGUGAUAGACGUAGUUCCCUGCAUCCUGCAGGGCUUCUGGGAGCUUCCUCCUCGUCCCCUCUUGAACAUGGCCUCCCAGAGUUUGAGCAUACUCCAAAAAGUGUCACCAAGGCCACUUUGGAUCGAGUCUCCAAAACUCUCACAGCGAUGGAAAGUCAGGCUGUCUUCUUCCGCUCCAUCAGAGACAACAUGGUCCAGAGCAUCCCGACAAAAAUCAGAGAGAAAUAUGCUUAAGAAAUUCUACUUAACAACAUUGCAAACUUUGCACCAGUGCUGCUCAAGAAAAUUGCCGAUGUAGCAAAGAACCACAUAUCUAAGAUCCUAAAGCCCCCUUCAAGUCUGCCAAUGUCAGAUCUUCUUCCCAAUGAAGAACUUCAUGCUGAAAGUUCAUCAUUGUUUGAUGUUCCUCACAUUGAAGAACCUACAUCUUAAUGUCUGCAAAUCCCUGAUAUUCAAGAUACUGAACAUCUCAAAAAUUUACAUAAGAAAAACUGUCUAAUGACAAAAGAAAAUUUAGAGCUAGAACACAUCUGAAUGAAUAUUGAAAGCUCAAAUUAAAUCACUGGAAGAUUAGACAUUUAAAAUACAUAAUUCCAAACUUAAGGAUGUCAAAUGAAUAAACAGAAUAUUUUCAGAAUAUCUGCUGUGUGUGUGUCAGUGCUGAAUCUUCAUUGAUUGUGGGUAAAGUUUACACUGACACAGGCUAACUAUGGUGGAGUGCUUCAUACCCCACCCCCACUACAGACUGGCUGCAAACAGGGUGGAGGUGUGUAGGGGCUGGAUUCAAAUUAGGCUGUC